rnacentral:rRNA from 1 species
CCUACGGGUGGCUGCAGUGGGGAAUAUUGGACAAUGGGCGAAAGCCUGAUCCAGCCAUGCCGCGUGUGUGAAGAAGGCCUUCGGGUUGUAAAGCACUUUCAGUGGGGAAGAAAGCCUUGGGGCUAAUACCCUCGAGGAAGGACAUCACCCACAGAAGAAGCACCGGCUAACUCCGUGCCAGCAGCCGCGGUAAUACGGAGGGUGCGAGCGUUAAUCGGAAUUACUGGGCGUAAAGCGCGCGUAGGCGGUCUGAUAAGCCGGUUGUGAAAGCCCCGGGCUCAACCUGGGAACGGCAUCCGGAACUGUCAGGCUAGAGUGCAGGAGAGGAAGGUAGAAUUCCCGGUGUAGCGGUGAAAUGCGUAGAGAUCGGGAGGAAUACCAGUGGCGAAGGCGGCCUUCUGGACUGACACUGACGCUGAGGUGCGAAAGCGUGGGUAGCAAACAGGAUUAGAUACCCGAGUGUC